GCCCGCUCCAGCUGAUCUGGGUCAAUCGAAAUUUCUAAGACCCACCACGGACUUGUAUGAGGUUAGUGUGUGGAGGGAAAUGGGCUGCGGGAGAUAGAUGUGUGCUACAGGCAGGGCACAGUGCAGCAGACUGCAGACUGCAUGAGAGGACUGCCCUUCUUCCUCGGCUCCUCCUCGUCUGUACGUCGCUGUUGUGACGAAAUUAACUUCUGACCAACGUUGCGAAAGGCUGGAACUGCAAACAAACAAAAGCUUUUGUUCCUCUUUUCACCUCCCUUCAACUGCCGGCACCAUCCAAAAUGAAAACAAAUGAACAUCUCUUGGUCUGCACUGUUCAUGUUACAAGCUGUUAAAACAGGUAUAAACACAGCAGAAAAGGAUUAAAAAAUUGGAAGGAGCAUUUGUUACAUCAGACUCAAAAGAUGAGUUAUAUGUGGAAGAAUCUAGGUAUUGCUGCUGACUGGCAUUUAUUGCCCAUCCUUCCCCGUCCUUGAGAAGGUGGAGGUGAGCUGCUGCAGUCCUGCAGAAGGUAUUCCCUCCUUCAUGUUGUUCCAGUAAUCCGGGGCUUGGACUCGUGGAACAAUGAAGGAAAGUGAGACCAAGCCCAGUGUUUUCCAUGAUGGUCUAUGGAAGUAUCUGAAGGCAGAAACUGAACUGAACAAGGUUCUCCAUUGGCAGCCUGGUCUCCUCGUGAUCGAUGAUCAACUCACUGGCACCCCCUGGUUCUCGGGCAUCUUCUUCAUCAGUGAUGCUGUGGAAAUCUUGCAAUUUUGGAUCUAAUGAACUAUCUGCUGGUUGCUUCAAGCAAGCACACUGGAAGAUCUGGAACAUCCUUAGUCAGGAAUUAGCACCACAUUUAUCAUUUUCCAGAGAGGAACAACGUUUGAGAGGAAUAUCAUUGUCCUGAUGUGUAUUUCUCCCAGGAUCAGUGUGAGGCUUCAGGUUUGGAUCUGUUGUGUGAUUACAUGAGACCUGCUUUGAGAGGUUGGUUGUUGAAUGUGGGAUCUACUAAUCCUUUCCAGGAUCCUGGCCUUAAAGAGGAAGGAGAAAUGUUCUUUCUAAUGUUGAGGGGCAUUUUGUACUUUCUCAGGUAGGACCCUGAGGGUCUGGGUGAAGGUGUUGUACUGAUCACUGGAGUCUCUAUCCCACCCCAGCUUCCUCAGCCCCACAGACCUGCCGGCCUGGCUGAGACCAUCUGUAAUCAGCCAUUCUCAGAGAAACAAAAGACCGCAGAUGCUGGAAUCUGGAUGAAAAACAUCAUGAUGCUGGAGGAAAUCAGCAGGCCAGGCAGCAUCUGUGGAGAAAAGCAGGCGGUCAACGUUUCGGGUCAGGACCCUUCUUCAGGACUGAAGAUAGGAAAAGGGGAAGCCCAAUAUAUAGGAGGGAAAAGCAGAGCAGUGAUAGGUGGACAAAAGAGGGGAGGCGGGGUGGGCACAGGGUGGUGAUAGGUAGAUGCAGGUAAGAGAUAGUGAUA